CCCGCUCAGAAACUACAAAUAGAAUUGACGGGGGCCCGCACAAGCGGUGGAGCAUGUGGUUUAAUUCGAUGAUACGCGAGGAACCUUACCUGGGCUCAAAUGUAUGUUGACGUAUUCUGAAAGGGAUACUUCUUCGGACAAUAUACAAGGUGCUGCAUGGUUGUCGUCAGCUCGUGCCGUGAGGUGUCGGGUUAAGUCCCAUAACGAGCGCAACCCCUAUCAUUAGUUGCCAUCAGGUCAAGCUGGGGACUCUAAUGAAACUGCCUACGCAAGUAGUGAGGAAGGUGGGGAUGACGUCAAAUCAGCACGGCCCUUACGUCCAGGGCUACACACGUGCUACAAUGGCCGAUACAGAGGGCAGCUACCUGGUGACAGGAUGCAAAUCUCCAAAGUCGGUCUCAGUUCGGAUCGGAGUCUGCAACCCGACUCCGUGAAGUUGGAUUCGCUAGUAAUCGCGCAUCAGCCAUGGCGCGGUGAAUACGUUCCCGGGCCUU
rnacentral:rRNA from 1 species